UCCGCUGCCCCGCCCGCGUCCGGCUCUUCCACGCGGAGCUCGACGGGCCCUACGCAGGCCGCGUCCACGACUGGCUCUUCGUCCUCGCCCGCAGGGGUGUCGAGAUCCUGGACCUCAGCUUCAACGACUCGUUCCCCACCCUCCCCUCCUCCGUCUUCUCCUGCAGCCGGCUCACCUCCCUCAGCCUCUUCGGCUGCGCCAUUCCGCUCCUACCCGCGGGCUUUGUGGCCUUCCCGGAGCUAAGGAAAUUGACCCUCGCAAACGUCCACUUAGAGGACUAUGGGGAGUACCAGCUUGAGGAGAUCAUUAGGACAUCCCCGUUGCUCGACUAUCUGGUACUUACAGAUGUUUUCAUCGGUGGCGAGUACAUCAGAGAAUGGGUGAUUCGGGCGCCCAAUCUCAGGCACUUGACUAUUUGUUCAGAGAACUAUUAUGGCUGGAUCCUCAAGGACUUGACAUGCUGAAUUCUGCAGUCAUCGAUUGGUUUGACAAUGUUGUUCACAACGAUUUUGCCAAGUUUCUUUCCGGGCUUGUUCAAGUUAGGAAGCUUUUGGUCGUCUCAUUCAACGCACCGAGUGCUAUGAUACCGAAGAUAAUUCUGUGCACCUUUCACAACUUGAAGAGCUUGAAGUUGCGUAUGCACUUUUGUGAGCAACCCCCUAUUAUGUUAGCGUUUUGCUUACUAAAGAGUGCCCCAAAUCUUGAAAAGCUUAAAAUAGAGGCAAUCCUGAUUUAUGAAUAUCCCCAUGCAUAUUUCAUAUAACAUUGUUUAAAGGUCAUUUUGGCACUUCAGGUUAAUUAUCUUUUUUACUUUUAUAUGUGAAGAUCUAUGAUAAGGAGGAGCAGAAAUUUGAGGCAAAUGGAGAGUUUCAAAAUGCAUUAUGGACUGAUGGCAUGUGUGCCAACCUUCAGGUUGUGCAGAUGACUGGCAUUAAUUGGCGUCGAAAUGAAAUGUGCUUUAUAGAGCUCAUUCUCUCUAAAGCAAGGCUUCUUCGUGCAUUAUGUAUUAGCUAUGGUGGGAACGUUGUGAUGUCUAGUGAGGAUGCUAUAAAUGAAUUACUAACAUACAAAAGGGCUUCAGCUGAAGCUCAGGUCUUAUUUAAAGGUAAAGCAGAAGAGUAUUAUUAGGCCAGGACCAACUCCUGGGCAUCGCUGGAGAGGUGUGGCUCCGACGAGACAGUUCUAUCGCCUGAUGCAGUGUCUUCGAUCAGAGAUGCAACAUGCAGAGAAUGGCUUAUCAAAAGGAACCAGUUCUGUUAGAGUAUAAAGGGACUGCUAGCAUUUUGUGUUUUGUUCUUUUCUGAAAUAUAUUGGCCUACCAUCGGUGCUUCGGUCAGAGCCGACGAUGAGGUUUAAGUUCAUUGUCUUUGUCUAGCACUCUAGUUAGUAGUAUACCGUAGCGAGAAGACGCCUUCGAACAUGGGUCGUGUUUCGUUUGACUUUUCAGGCCUCUGAAAAUGAAGCGCACUUUGCCUUUUGGUAUUAUAUCCUUGUACUGGCUGUAGCAAAUUUAGGCUGGAGAGUCUGAGGGAGUUAUCUUCCAUUCUUAA